AAAUCUAUUUAAAACUCUCUUAGUCUCACCCAUAUGGCUAGCCAAAGCAUGAAGUGAAGAGGAAAGGAAAGAACACAAACCCUAGGUGGGAAAAUUGAAGAAAAAGUGUGGGAUUUCAAGGGAUUAAGCUAAUAAAGGUAAAAUUUUAUGAUUUUAUCUUGUGAUUUACACUACCCAUGCUUUCUUUUUCAUUUUCCAUGCUUAGAACUCAAGUUUGCAUGAUGAACCCAUGCUGGCCGAAUUUGAAAGGAGAGGUUUCGAGCAUUGAUUUUGCUAGAUUUCAAGCUAAUUAAGUGUUUUUGGUUGUUUGGUAAUGGAAAGUAUGAAAAUCUUGCAAGGAAUCACUUUGUUUUUCACAAACCCACAA
rnacentral:lncRNA from 1 species